UACAGAGGAGCCAAGCGUUGUCCGGAUUGACUGGGCGUAAAGCGCACGCAGGCGGAUGCGCGCGUGGGGUGUGAAAUCUGGCCGCUUAACGGCCAGGCGCCAUCCCAUACGGCGCGUCUGGAGCGAUGCAGAGGUCGAUGGAAUUGCCGGUGUAGUGGUGAAAUGCGUAGAGAUCGGCAGGAACACCCAGGGGGAAACCAGUCGACUGGGCAUCUACUGACGCUGAGGUGCGAGAGCGUGGGGAGCGAACCGG
rnacentral:rRNA from 1 species